AUGCAUCCAAUGAAGUGGGCUGUAGCCCAUGAAAGCUUAUGCUCUAAUAAAUCUGUUAGUCUCUAAGGUGCCACAAAUACUCCUGUUCUUUUUACUGAUUUUAAUGAGGCUCUGCACGGGUAUAAGGAUCUGAUUGCAUGUUACAACUUCCAAGUUCAUGCCUUGGAUUGUGAGCUUUUAGAGCCAAAGAUUGUUUUUUUCCUUUUAUGUGGCUGCAGUGUUCUAGCAUAAGAGCCUCCUCCUAAAGUCUGUCAUCUAUUCUUUAACAACAACAACGGAAGCAUCUUACCGGACGUUCUGUUCUGGGUUGAGGAUAAACUGGAUUGAUGAAGGUGUCCUAAAAGCCAAGCUGCAUUUGUCUGAAGACCAAUCACCCCAGAAAAACUGACUAUCUGUGAAGGCAAUCAUUGGACAUGAAUUUGUAGGCUAGUUUCAUUAUUUCUUCAUUCCGUGCUGCAACAGCAAGCUGGACACAAAAACAAUGGUACUUUUUUUUUUUAAAUUAAAUCUGGAUCCUCCACACAAGGUACUGUAGUACAGUGCACAUCACACAUUAUUGGAGACAGACAUGAUCCUCUCACCUGAGUCAGGGUUCUGAUGAUUUCAUUAAGUUUAUUUUGAAACUGGGAGGACUGGAUAGCCUCAGAUUUCAGCUGUCAGGAAAAAAUAAACAAAACUAUGUGAACAUCUAAAGGAAAAGCAAAACAAUUAAAUGCAUAAUUGAUUGUGGAGGAACAGGUUUAGCUCUCAUAUCCAACAAAUAUUGUUGAAAGCAACCUAAGGACCAAAUUUUCUUUUCAAAGAUAUUAUUCUGACAGAGGAAAUAAAUGUUUGUACAAUUAAUUCAAAACUCUGCAGCAAACUGAAUGUUUUGCUAUUAAGUAAACCCAGUUAUUUAAUUAUUCAAUGUAUUAAACACCACCUCUGCCCCCCACCCCUGCCAAAAAAAAAAUCCAUUCUGGUGUUAUAGGUGCUCAUAGAGAUGUGAUUCCAUUCUGUUUUCCAGCCUGAAUCUUUAACUUUGUUUCUAAAGGAAACACAGGUAUCAUGUGCUUAUGUCUUUUUACCUGUAUCAUGGAUGCUUCAGAACCCACCAAUGCGACCAGCCCAUUGACAGCAGCCAGACGCUGCAUUGUGGGAGACCCCUAUAAGUCCAAGCAAAAACACCACAUGACAAAGGGGUGGAAGGUGGCAAAAAACUGAACAGCAAAGGCAUUUUCCUCCAAGAAAAGACUUUCAUUUUAAUUCUGAACUAUACAGACAUACCUCUCCCCCAACAAACUCGUAUGCUGGCCUCUAAAUGUGAGACCCAACUAUGUUACCAAGGUUCUGAAAUAAAUAGCAUUUCUGGGACUUGCUCCUUUUCUCAAACAACAGUAUAUUUCUCAUUGAUGUAGCAUCUCCCACUACAGCACGUUCCAGUCUAACAUCUUUGAAGUGCAUCACCCAUAAGAACAUGCUGAGAUGACCGAGUCUUUAUACAGACUGUCAAAAUUUUGUGUUGCUGUUAUUAAUAUUUACCUUCAAAUCCCAUCUUGGAGGAUUCAUUUAGGAUCUGCUUUUAAAAUUACAUUUCAUAUGUAAUUUUUUGGUACAAUGGGAUAAUCAUUACUACGGAAUUGUAAGCAUAAUAAAUGAAUACAUAUCACUCAAUUUUCUAUACAGUUAAAUGACAGUGAUUAAUGUUGCCUUCAGUAGGCCUAGAAUUGUUCAGCUCCACCUACUACACUAAAUGCAAUCUAAGCAUCACAGUGUAGCUUCGGCAUUCUGGGCAUACAGAUGGCAAUUUACAGGCUGAUAAAAGUAGAGCCAUUUAUUACUUAAUGAAAUAUGCGCUUAGGGUAAACUUACAGUGAACAGCAAAACACAACAAUUCCAUUUGCCAGUCUAAUUUUUGUUAAGUACCACUUUACUUCAUAAGUAAUCUCAAUGUUAGUGUGACUACUCAUGGACUAAGAUACUACUCAAUGUGAGUAAAGAAUGCAGUUGAGCUCUCACAGACUAUCUGGAAUAUUUUUGGUAGAGAGUUGUCUUACAUUACCUUGUUUCUUAUAAAAAAAACCCCAACAGUUAAUAACCUUUCUGUAACUGUUGUUCUUCAAGAUGUCCAUACCACGUUAGGUAUGAGCACGCUGGAUGCACAGUCACUGGAGAUUUUUCCCUCAGUGGUAUCUGUCGGGCUGGCUUUAGCGCCCUCUGGUGCACAACUAUAAGGAGCCAAGCCAGCUCCACACCCUCUGAGUUACUUUUUGCCGGCUAACUCCGACAAAGGGCAGGAGGGUGGUUCGUGGAAUGGACAUGACCAA